rnacentral:lncRNA from 1 species
GCAAACAGUAGGGAAGAGAUAGUCAUUUCAGUCUAAAUUGUGAAGCUUUGGGCUGGGGAGCACUUCUGGUUUUGUUUUGUGGUAGGGUGUUGUGCUAUAUAUACCUCAGGCUAGCUUUGACUCCAUUUAUUCUCUUAUAUUACUUCUGGGGUUUUGGAUUAAGGGGGAACAUAAGUGCCCAGCUUGAGCUUGCACUGUGUGUGUAUGUGUUUAUGUUCUUGUUGGUCUGCUUCUGGAGGCCAGAGGUCUAUCUCAGGAGUCAUUCAUUCUUCAUGAACCUUCUGCUUUGUUUUUGAGAUAGUCUCUGGAACUUGGGGCUCAUCUAUGUAACCAGUGAGCUCUAGGGAUCCUCUCCAUUGGGAUUCCAAGCACUUGCCUCUAUGGUUGGCUUUUUCUUUAGGUUGGGGACCGAACUAACUCAGGUCCUCAUACUUUGCAAACAAGUGCUUCACCAACAGAGCUUUUGCCUGCUCUUACAUAGCACAUUCUUCGUUUAGAUUUCCACCAUUUGGGAGUGAAAAUAGUAAUUAACACUUACUAUUUGUUAUAUUCUAGGAUUAUGCCAAACACUUUACAUGCAUUUUUCAUUUAUUCUGUACCUUUUUACAGGGAAAUACUUUUGUCUCCCUUCCCCCAUUUUAUCACUAGAAGCACUGGGGUUUUCAAAAGUCUAGGCUAUCUUAUUUAUUGUGGCAGUGCAAAAUGGUAAAGCUUCUUUAGAGGACAAUUUGGCAGUGUUUAAAAAGCUGAACAUACUCUGUGAUAUUGCAGUUUACAUACUAUUUGUUAUUUACUCAAAGGAUUUGGAAACAUAUCUGCAUAGAAAUUUGUAGCAGCAUUAUUCAUAAUUGCUAAAAAAUUGGAAACAACUCAGUUGUUCUUCAGUAGGUAAAUUAACAAACUGCUCUAAAAACAAACUAUACUGAGUUCUGAAAAGUAAUGGAGUAACCUUAAGUGCAUUAAUACUGGAAUAAAAAAAGAACCCAGUCUAAGAGCGCUAUAACUGUGCAAUUACAGUUAUGUAACACCGAAAAAGACACACCCAUGGAGACAAUAGAAAACGUCAGUGGUUGCUAGUAAUUAGGAUGGGGAGCACUUCAGAAUAGUCAGAUCACAGGAUUUUUAGGAUUAAACUGCCCUGUAUAAUAUUGUAAUGGUGAUCCCAUAUCACUUCUAUUUGUUCAAAUAAGAAUGUACAGUAAGAGUACUUUCAGUAAGUACUUUACAGUAAGAGUGAACCACAAUUUAGACUGAGACUGCUGGGUGUUGAAGACAUGUCAGUAGUGUGUUCAGGGGAAGCAACUGUGCUUUAUGACUAUGGCAUGGGGACAGUUUAUGGGGUGUAUGGGAAGUUUGUAUAGCAAACAAAGC